UACAGAGGUCUCAAGCGUUGUUCGGAUUCAUUGGGCGUAAAGGGUGCGUAGGUGGCGCCGUAAGUGGGGUGUGAAAUUUCGGAGCUUAACUCCGAAACUGCAUUCCAUACUGCGGUGCUUGAGGACUGGAGAGGAGACUGGAAUUUACGGUGUAGCAGUGAAAUGCGUAGAGAUCAUGAGGAAGACCAGUGGCGAAGGCGGGUCUCUGGACAGUUCCUGACACUGAGGCACGAAGGCCCAGGGGAGCAAACGGG
rnacentral:rRNA from 1 species